rnacentral:rRNA from 1 species
CCGGUGAAUACGUUCCCGGGCCUUGUACACACCGCCCGUCAAGCCAUGGAAGUUGGGAGUACCUAAAGUCGAUAACCGUAAGGAGUCGCCUAGGGUAAUACCGAGUGACUGGGCU